ACCAUUGCGCCAGCUUCAGGUGUCCCCAGCCGAGUGGUUCGGCAAGGGGAUGAAACGGGAAGUCCGGUGCGCGGCCCUUGGUGAAUCCAGGCCCGCAAGUCCGGCGCAGCCCCCGCUACUGUAAGCCUGACGAAUCCGGGCAAAACACCACUGUGCCGCAAGGCAUGGGAAGGUCCCGGAGGAGGAUGACGGCGAGCCAGGAGACCGGCCUGAGGCAGGGGCGCAUC
rnacentral:ncRNA from 2 species